GCCUGAGUGGCUCAGUCUGUUAAGCAUCUGACUUCAGCUCAGGUCAUGAUCUUGCAGUUUGUGAGUUCGAGCCCCACAUCGGGCU
rnacentral:tRNA from 1 species